AUUGAACGCUGGCGGCAGGCCUAACACAUGCAAGUCGAACGGUAACAGGAAGCAGCUUGCUGCUUUGCUGACGAGUGGCGGACGGGUGAGUAAUGUCUGGAAAACUGCCUGAUGGAGGGGGAUAACUACUGGAAACGGUAGCUAAUACCGCAUAACGUCGCAAGACCAAAGAGGGGGACCUUCGGGCCUCUUGCCAUCGGAUGUGCCCAGAUGGGAUUAGCUAGUAGGUGGGGUAAAGGCUCACCUAGGCGACGAUCCCUAGCUGGUCUGAGAGGAUGACCAGCCACACUGGAACUGAGACACGGUCCAGACUCCUACGGGAGGCAGCAGUGGGGAAUAUUGCACAAUGGGCGCAAGCCUGAUGCAGCCAUGCCGCGUGUAUGAAGAAGGCCUUCGGGUUGUAAAGUACUUUCAGCGGGGAGGAAGGGAGUAAAGUUAAUACCUUUGCUCAUUGACGUUACCCGCAGAAGAAGCACCGGCUAACUCCGUG
rnacentral:rRNA from 1 species